UACGUAGGGGGCAAGCGUUGUCCGGAUUUAUUGGGCGUAAAGAGCGUGUAGGCGGCCAGGGAGGUCCGUUGUGAAAACUCGAGGCUCAACCUCGAGACGCCGAUGGAAACCCCCUGGCUAGAGUCCGGAAGAGGAGAAUGGAAUUCCUGGUGUAGCGGUGAAAUGCGCAGAUAUCAGGAAGAACACCCGUGGCUAAGGCGGUUCUCUGGACCGAUACUGACGCUGAGGCGCGAAAGCGUGGGGAGCAAACAGG
rnacentral:rRNA from 1 species